GGACUGGUAGUUUAGCGGCUAUAACGACUCGUUCACGUCGAGUAGGUCGGAGGUUCAAAUCCUCCUCAGUCCA
rnacentral:tRNA from 1 species